CCUACGGGUGGCAGCAGUGGGGAAUAUUGCACAAUGGGGGAAACCCUGAUGCAGCGACGCCGCGUGAGUGAAGAAGUAUCUCGGUACGUAAAGCUCUAUCAGCAGGAAAGAAAAUGACGGUCCCUGACUAAGAAGCCCCGGCUAACUACGUGACAGCAGCCGCGGGCAUACGUAGGGGGCAAGCGUUAUCCGGAUUUACUGGGUGUAAAGGGAGCGUAGACGGCGCUGCAAGUCCGGAGUGAAAGCCCAGGGCUUAACCAUGGUACUGCUCUGGAAACUGUAGAGCUUGAGUGCGGGAGGGGCAGGCGGAAUUCCUAGUGUAGCGGUGAAAUGCGUAGAUAUGAGGAGGAACACCGACGGCGAAGGCGGCCUACUGGACCGUAACUGACGUUGAGGCUCGAAAGCGUGGGGAGCAAACAGGAUUAGAUACCCGUGUAGUC
rnacentral:rRNA from 1 species